UGUUUAUUUUUUUCGUAAUGA
rnacentral:piRNA from 1 species